rnacentral:lncRNA from 1 species
UUCAGCAGAAAUUUCCUGAUAUUUUUAAACAGUGUCAACUAUCAACAAGGAAAAGAAAAAGGGAUCGAAGACGAGCUAACAAUUAUUUCCAUUACAUAGGUUCUCAUUGUUUCAAGGGCAGAAGAUGAUAUUUCAGGAUCUGGAACUGGUUUCAUGUGGGUUCAUUGCUUUACCACAACCAAUCCAAGUUCCCAGUUGCCUUUGACUGGUUCAGCUUUAGUGAGCUUACAGAGACAAUACGUGCAGCUAAAUGGGAAAGUUUUCCAAGGAGUCACGGGGAUAAAGACUUUAUAAUUUAUUUAACAUUAGAUACACUAGAGCUGUAACAACUAUCUUCAACCAGAAGGUUGAGUUCCAU